rnacentral:rRNA from 1 species
CAGCCGCCGCGGUAAUACGAAGGGUGCAAGCGUUACUCGGAAUUACUGGGCGUAAAGCGUGCGUAGGUGGUUGUUUAAGUCUGCUGUGAAAGCCCUGGGCUCAACCUGGGAAUUGCAGUGGAUACUGGGCAACUAGAGUAAGGUAGAGGAUAGUGGAAUUUCCGGUGUAGCAGUGAAAUGCGUAGAGAUCGGAAGGAACAUCUGUGGCGAAGGCGACUAUCUGGGCCAUUACUGACACUGAGGCACGAAAGCGUGGGGAGCAAACAGGAUUAGAUACCCCCGUAGUCCCUGUCUCUUAUAC